rnacentral:rRNA from 1 species
UACGUAGGGUGCAAGCGUUGUCCGGAAUUAUUGGGCGUAAAGAGCUCGUAGGCGGUCUGUUACGUCGGCUGUGAAAACCUGGGGCUCAACCCCGGGCCUGCAGCCGAUACGGGCAGACUAGAAUUCGGUAGGGGAGACUGGAAUUCCUGGUGUAGCGGUGAAAUGCGCAGAUAUCAGGAGGAACACCGGUGGCGAAGGCGGGUCUCUGGGCCGAUAUUGACGCUGAGGAGCGAAAGCGUGGGUAGCAAACAGG